UACGAGUGGUGCAAGCAUUGCCCGGAAUCACUGGGUGUAAAGGGUUUGUAGGCGGAUAAGCAAGUCAAGUAUGAAAGACCGAAGCUUAACUUCGUGUUUGUGCUCGAAACUAUUUAUCUAGAAUGAGGAAGGGGUAAGCGGAAUUCUAAGUGUAGGGGUGCAAUCCGUAGAUACUUAGAGGAACACCGAAAGCGAAGGCAGCUUACUGGGACUCUAUUGACGCUGAAAAACGAAAGCGUGGGGAGCGAAAAGG
rnacentral:rRNA from 1 species